rnacentral:lncRNA from 1 species
AUGCUCUGCCAGAUCCUCAGUCAGGCAAAGAAGCACCCGAGGUUAAUCCCUCUCCUUGAAUUUAUUGAAGCUGGAGGUACUGGAGCAACACUGGAUGUCUUGCAUCUGGCAUUGUUCAAUCCAGGUGUUAAUUGAGACAGAAACCAUAACCCAGAACACUGGAACAAACUGGGUCCCAAUGAUUGAUACAAGCUCUAUUCAGUGAAUGUGGAUUAUCACAAACUGAAGAAGAGGUCCAGAUUUCUAAAUAA